rnacentral:lncRNA from 1 species
UCUAAUCCAAGAAGGAACAUAUAAUCUUUGACUCAGAUGUUUUCUCUACUACUUGUUGACUUAUACACAAAAGCACAUUUUAUAACAUCGAGUUACCAAUGCGGUUUCGUACAAUCAAUGCAUAACCAACUCAUAGGCAACAAGUCAUAUCUCUAGGUUUGAAGACUUAUAUGAUAUUACCGUCUCACGAUCACUCGAGAUANAUUUUAUAACAUCGAGUUACCAAUGCGGUUUCGUACAAUCAAUGCAUAACCAACUCAUAGGCAACAAAUCAUAUCUCUAGGUUUGAAGACUUAUAUGAUAUUACCAUCUCACGAUCACCCGAGAUAAAUUCCAUGAAGUGAUACCAGUGAGCGUGGGUUGAGUCCAAUGCUCAGAACUUAUGAACACUCAUGAGUAUUGUAGCCAUGUCCAACAACUUAGACCUCUGCAACCACCUCAUGACAGUCUUGAUUCAUACCUACUUCCAACAUAUGACCGACUGUGGAGAUUUGAAUAAUAUGAUAUACCAAACAUAAUUAUUCUGGAAGUCAGAACAUGCAAAAGAAAUAUAGUAAACGAUUGACAAGAGAUAGCAACACUUUACUCGUAAAUAAACACACCUUUUAUUCAUCAUCAAAUGUCAAUUACACUUUACAAAUUUCAAAAUUAUCUAACUACUAAAACUAAUAUCAUCCUUCAGCCCUAUGCUCCGAGCAUGUUGGAGGUGCUUAACCCGAGUCAGUCCAUUCGUGAGGGGAUCUGCUAGAUUCUCAUCCGAUGAUACCCUCUUUGCUACGAGGAGUCCUUCUUCUAUUCGAUGUCUGAUGAAAUGGCAUUUUCUGUCGAUGUGUCUGGAUCUCCC